UGUGGAAUAUUGGACAAUGGGGGGAACCCUGAUCCAGCCAUGCCGCGUGUGUGAAGAAGGCCUUAUGGUUGUAAAGCACUUUAAGCGAGGAGGAGGGUACUGGUAUUAAUACUACCAGGUACUGGACGUUACUCGCAGAAUAAGCACCGGCUAACUCUGUGCCAGCAGCCGCGGUAAUACAGAGGGUGCGAGCGUUAAUCGGAUUUACUGGGCGUAAAGCGUGCGUAGGCGGCUAAUUGAGUCGGAUGUGAAAUCCCCGAGCUUAACUUGGGAAUUGCAUUCGAUACUGGUUAGCUAGAGUGUGGGAGAGGAUGGUAGAAUUCCAGGUGUAGCGGUGAAAUGCGUAGAGAUCUGGAGGAAUACCGAUGGCGAAGGCAGCCAUCUGGCCUAACACUGACGCUGAGGUACGAAAGCAUGGGGAGCAAACAGG
rnacentral:rRNA from 1 species